rnacentral:rRNA from 1 species
CCUACGGGAGGCAGCAGUGAGGAAUAUUGGUCAAUGGGCGCAAGCCUGAACCAGCCAUGCCGCGUGCAGGACGACGGCCCUAUGGGUUGUAAACUGCUUUUGUACGGGAAGAAACAGAGGGACGUGUCCCUCCUUGACGGUACCGUAAGAAUAAGGAUCGGCUAACUCCGUGCCAGCAGCCGCGGUAAUACGGAGGAUCCAAGCGUUAUCCGGAAUCAUUGGGUUUAAAGGGUCCGUAGGCGGCCUUAUAAGUCAGUGGUGAAAUCUUCUAGCUCAACUAGAAAAUGGCCAUUGAUACUGUAGGGCUUGAAUUAUUGUGAAGUAACUAGAAUAUGUAGUGUAGCGGUGAAAUGCUUAGAUAUUACAUGGAAUACCAAUCGCGAAGGCAGGUUACUAACAAUACAUUGACGCUGAUGGACGAAAGCGUGGGGAGCGAACAGGAUUAGAUACCCUGGUAGUCCACGCCGUAAACGAUGGAUACUAGCUGUUUGGAGCAAUCUGAGUGGCUAAGCGAAAGUGAUAAGUAUCCCACCUGGGGAGUACGAACGCAAGUUUGAAACUCAAAGGAAUUGACGG